UAAAAAUAUGUUCGGAACUGAUAUACACACAUAUCUUGAAAGAAGGAAUGAAAGGAAAGAUUUCAUCAUUGUGGGAUUUGAAGAGGCAGAAGCAAUGAAUUAGACUGAAAUUACUAAAUAAAGCUCAAACCCUUAAGCAAUACUACAUUAGAGUAUGGGGUACUGAAGCAGAAAAGGAUGCCCUUCAAUUUGAUAGAAAAGCACUACAUGAAUCCCUGUAAGACUCCACAAAUUAAACUAGGAGCUGUGUCAACCUGCUCUCUGUUUUACAUCCAUGUGGGAGGGUCUACGAGCACUCAUGUGGACAGUGUCUCUGUGCAUCUGUUUAAGAAAUUUUUGCCUACACUGAAGUCACAAGAAUGCUCUCCAAUGUGUUCUUUAAAAAGUCUUAUAGCUUUACUUUUAACAUUUAGACCCGUGAUAAGUUUGGAAUUAUUUUGUGUUUACAGUGUUAGAUAGGGUUAUCUAACUAACACAAUCAUUUUUUGAAAAUAUUUCUGUACAUGACUUUACUCUUGCCUUUGUAAUAA
rnacentral:lncRNA from 1 species